rnacentral:rRNA from 1 species
UACAGAGGGUGCGAGCGUUGUCCGGAAUCACUGGGCGUAAAGGGCGCGUAGGCGGCUCAGUAAGGUUGCGGUGAAAGCCCGGGGCUCAACCCCGGGUCGGCCGUGGCAACUGCUGGGCUAGAGCACUGUAGAGGCAGGUGGAAUUCCGGGUGUAGCGGUGGAAUGCGUAGAGAUCCGGAAGAACACCGGUGGCGAAGGCGGCCUGCUGGGCAGUAACUGACGCUGAGGAGCGAAAGCGUGGGGAGCGAACAGG